GUCCACGCCGUAAACGAUGAAUACUAGGUGUCGGGCCGUAUAGGCUUCGGUGCCGCCGCAAACGCAGUAAGUAUUCCACCUGGGGAGUACGUUCGCAAGAAUGAACUCAAGGAAUUGACGGGACCCGCACAAGCGGUGGAGCAUGUGGUUUAAUUCGAAGCAACGCGAAGAACCUUACCAGGUCUUGACAUCCUUCUGACCACUCCGUAAUGGGAGUUUUCCUUCGGGACAGAAGAGACAGGUGGUGCAUGGUUGUCGU
rnacentral:rRNA from 1 species